AUUGAACGCUGGCGGCAUGCCUUACACAUGCAAGUCGAACGGCAGCACGGGUGCUUGCACCUGGUGGCGAGUGGCGAACGGGUGAGUAAUACAUCGGAACAUGUCCUGUAGUGGGGGAUAGCCCGGCGAAAGCCGGAUUAAUACCGCAUACGAUCUACGGAUGAAAGCGGGGGACCUUCGGGCCUCGCGCUAUAGGGUUGGCCGAUGGCUGAUUAGCUAGUUGGUGGGGUAAAGGCCUACCAAGGCGACGAUCAGUAGCUGGUCUGAGAGGACGACCAGCGACACGGGGACUGAGACACGGCCCAGACUCCUACGGGAGGCAGCAGUGGGGAAUGUUGGACAAUGGGCGAAAGCCUGAUCCAGCAAUGCGGCGUGUGUUAAGAAGGCCUUCGGGUUGUAAAGCACUUUUGUCCGGAAAGAAAUCCUUGGCCCUAAUACGGUCGGGGGAUGACGGUACCGGAAGAAUAAGCACCGGCUAACUACGUG
rnacentral:rRNA from 1 species